UACGGGGGGGGCAAGCGUUGUUCGGAAUUACUGGGCGUAAAGGGCUCGUAGGCGGCCAACUAAGUCAGACGUGAAAUCCCUCGGCUUAACCGGGGAACUGCGUCUGAUACUGGAUGGCUAGAGGUUGGGAGAGGGAUGCGGAAUUCCUGGUGUAGCGGUGAAAUGCGUAGAUAUCAGGAGGAACACCGGUGGCGAAGGCGGCUCUCUGGACGGUGACUGACGCUGAGACGCGAAAGCGUGGGGAGCAAACAGG
rnacentral:rRNA from 1 species